AUAAUAGAAUAAAUUAUAAAAUAUCUUUUUAAAAUAAGAAAAUAAACAUUUUAUUGUCUAAAAUACAAUAACAACAUUACUUUAGUGAAUAUUUGUAGAAAUUUUCUAACAGGUGAAAAGGUCAGACUUUUAUGCUUAGCUCAACUUUAAUACAAUGUAAAGCUGAUCUGUUAAUUAUUAUUUUUUGGAUUACAAAAUGUACUUGGUACAUUUUUUUUGAGUUUGCAUACUGCACUUAAUGAUUAAUCGAUAACUAAGCUGACGAUUACUUAAAUGAAUCACGAUUAAUCCAAUUAAUCGUUUUAGCCCCAUGUGUUACAUAUAAAUAUUCUCCAAAUUCAAUGUAAAAAGCUUAAAGAUGAUCCAUAAAUUACUAACGUUCUUUUUUUCUUAUCUGGAAGAAAGUUUGCCUCAACAUUUUUCCAGUAUUAAAUGGAAAAAGGCUUCCUGACUCCAUCCGUGAGGAUUCCUGACCUGCAUUAACGCCCGAAAUCCAAAACUGCUUUUAAAGUCUGUUGCCGUGGAAACAGAGGUU